rnacentral:rRNA from 1 species
AUUGAACGCUGGCGGCAGGCCUAACACAUGCAAGUCGAGCGGAGCGGCGGACGGGUGAGUAAUGCCUAGGACUCUGCCUGGUAGUGGGGGAUAACGUUCGGUAACGGGCGCGAUUACCGCUUACUAUUUGAUGAGCCUAGGUCGGAUUAGCUAGUUGGUGGGGUAAAGGCCUACCAAGGCGACGAUCCGUAACUGGUCUGAGAGGAUGAUCAGUCACACUGGAACUGAGACACGGUCCAGACUCCUACGGGAGGUAGCAGUGGGGAAUAUUGGACAAUGGGCGAAAGCCUGAUCCAGCCAUGCCGCGUGUGUGAAGAAGGUCGUCGGAUUGUAAAGCACUUUAAGUUAGGAGGCGUUACCAACAGAAUAAGCACCGGCUAACUCCGUGCCAGCCGCCGCGGUAAUUC